CAUUAAGAUAGAGGCUGUGUAACUAAUUCCAGUUGAAUUAGGUUAUAUUUUUUCAAGAUGGAGGUCUUCCAUAGCAAUGUUACAAUAUUCUUGGUGUUUUCCUGGAUUGUAGGAAAACAUACUGGUAAAGGACUAAGUGGUGCCCACCCUGGUUAUGUUUGGCUAGAGUGGCAUUUCUGAGGGAGCAAGAAGGGAUGCUUUUUUUGAAUAGACUGAAUCUAAUUUCUUUUCUUUUUCUGUUACUUGGAACGAUAGUUAAGACUGCCUAAAGAUGAGGAUACUACUGUUAUCAAAGCUACAUGCCAAAUAGGAAGACAGAAACAAUCUCAGUAAGAAAGAUAGCUGUAAGACUUGCUCAUCACAUUGCGAGCUGGCCAGCUUUAAAUGAGUACCUUGUCACUGAGGCGAGACUAUCCACAAACUGUCUGCUAUUCUGCUCCUUUGGGAUAAAGGAAAUCAAAAUGCAAGGAGGGGAGUCCUGAAGAGGAGCCAUCAUGUCCAUUAAUGGCCCUCUGAGGAAGGGCUGCUGGAGAAAGAGGGAAGGUAACGGGAGCUAACAAAAUUAAUGAUGUAUUCUGGAGCUGUAAUUUUUUUUCUGUUUGUGAAGGAAAGGGAGGAGGAGCGAAGGAAAAAAAUCAAGGGAGAG
rnacentral:lncRNA from 1 species